rnacentral:rRNA from 1 species
CUCGGAUCAGGUAGGGAUACCCGCUGAACUUAAGCAUAUCAAUAAGCGGAGGAAAGAAACCAACAGGGAUUGCCCUAGUAACGGCGAGUGAAGCGGCAACAGCUCAAAUUUGAAAUCUGGCUCUUUCAGAGUCCGAGUUGUAAUUUGCAGAGGGCGCUUUGGCGUUGGCAGCGGUCCAAGUUCUUUGGAACAGGACGUCACAGA